UACGAAGGGGGGCUAGCGUUGUUCGGAAUCACUGGGCGUAAAGGGCGCGUAGGCGGCUUUAUAAGUCGGGGGUGAAAGCCUGUGGCUCAACCACAGAAUUGCCUUCGAUACUGUAGAGCUUGAGACCGGAAGAGGUAAGUGGAACUGCGAGUGUAGAGGUGAAAAUUCGUAGAUAUUCGCAAGAACACCAGUGGCGAAGGCGGCUCACUGGCCCGGUACUGACGCUGAGGUGCGAAAGCGUGGGGGAGCAAACAGGG
rnacentral:rRNA from 1 species